AAGAGAGUAGUAUAUUGGUUAUACAGCUGACUUGAAAUUAGUUUAAGGGGGUUCAAUUCCCACCUCUCUAG
rnacentral:tRNA from 1 species